rnacentral:rRNA from 1 species
GACGAACGUUGGCGGCGUGCUUAACACAUGCAAGUCGAACGGAAAGGCCCUGCUUUUGUGGGGUGCUCGAGUGGCGAACGGGUGAGUAACACGUGAGUAACCUGCCCUUGACUUUGGGAUAACUUCAGGAAACUGGGGCUAAUACCGGAUAGGAGCUCCUGCUGCAUGGUGGGGGUUGGAAAGUUUCGGCGGUUGGGGAUGGACUCGCGGCUUAUCAGCUUGUUGGUGGGGUAGUGGCUUACCAAGGCUUUGACGGGUAGCCGGCCUGAGAGGGUGACCGGCCACAUUGGGACUGAGAUACGGCCCAGACUCCUACGGGAGGCAGCAGUGGGGAAUAUUGCACAAUGGGCGGAAGCCUGAUGCAGCAACGCCGCGUGCGGGAUGACGGCCUUCGGGUUGUAAACCGCUUUCGCCUGUGACGAAGCGUGAGUGACGGUAAUGGGUAAAGAAGCACCGGCUAACUACGUGCCAGCAGCCGCGGUGAUACGUAGGGUGCGAGCGUUGUCCGGAUUUAUUGGGCGUAAAGGGCUCGUAGGUGGUUGAUCGCGUCGGAAGUGUAAUCUUGGGGCUUAACCCUGAGCGUGCUUUCGAUACGGGUUGACUUGAGGAAGGUAGGGGAGAAUGGAAUUCCUGGUGGAGCGGUGGAAUGCGCAGAUAUCAGGAGGAACACCAGUGGCGAAGGCGGUUCUCUGGGCCUUUCCUGACGCUGAGGAGCGAAAGCGUGGGGAGCGAACGGGCUUAGAUACCCUGGUAGUCCACGCUGUAAACGGUGGGUACUAGGUGUGGGGUCCAUUCCACGGGUUCCGUGCCGUAGCUAACGCUUUAAGUACCCCGCCUGGGGAGUACGGCCGCAAGGCUAAAACUCAAAGGAAUUGACGGGGCCCCGCACAAGCGGCGGAGCAUGCGGAUUAAUUCGAUGCAACGCGUAGAACCUUACCCGGGUUUGACAUGGAUCGGGAGUGCUCAGAGAUGGGUGUGCCUCUUUUGGGGUCGGUUCACAGGUGGUGCAUGCCUGUCGUCAGCUCGUGUCGUGAGAUGUUGGGUUAAGUCCCGCAACGAGCGCAACCCUUGUUCACUGUUGCCAGCACGUUAUGGUGGGGACUCAGUGGAGACCGCCGGGGUCAACUCGGAGGAAGGUGGGGAUGACGUCAAGUCAUCAUGCCCCUUAUGUCCAGGGCUUCACGCAUGCUACAAUGGCUGGUACAGAGAGUGGCGAGCCUGUGAGGGUGAGCGAAUCUCGGAAAGCCGGUCUCAGUUCGGAUUGGGGUCUGCAACUCGACCUCAUGAAGUCGGAGUCGCUAGUAAUCGCAGAUCAGCAACGCUGCGGUGAAUACGUUCCCGGGGCU